CGAGGAAUAGAUAUAGAGAAUCGUAUAGCCAACCUAACUAAUUGGGACUAAGGCAUAGUUGAUUGACACAUUGGUACUCUAAAUCCAGAAAGGAUAAGGAAAAUAGCGUUUUCAUAAGAUCAUUUGCCAGAACAAACUUAAAUAGUAAAAAAGAAACUGACCACCCAGACAUCAUUCACAUCAAAGCCACAAUCCAAAUAUGCAACCCCCAUUAUAGACUCCAUAACGUCUGCAAGAACCUUUGGUUCUUUUGUCGUUCCUCCGUAGAACUCAAUCUUCUCCUCCUGUUGCAGUGUGUCACGAACUCCUUCACUUACGUCAAAUUCAAAGUCUCUUCCAUUACAAUGCCACGUAGGAACUAUUGUAAUCAGUUUGCCAAUCUAGUGCCAAUGAAAUGUGCAAUUACGCCUUUUCAUCGAGUAUUGCCGCAUCAUGGAUGAGGCACUUGUAGAGGCCGUGCUGGGGACAACAACUCUUAAUAAGUUUUUCUGUACUUACAUCUGCAGCAGAGAGGUAUGUUAGCUUGCGAUAGUCAAUGUCAGGGUAAGUCACGAAGAAAUAACUAGAAAUAGCUAAGUUGAGAGCUGGUAAUUAGAAGCUGAAUCAGGACAAGAAGAGUGAGUAAGAGCUUUUCUAAGAGCUUCCAGCUGUUAAAUCAGUACUUCAAUAACUCUCCCAUUGCCCUUAGUGGUAUCGCCAUGUUUGUAAUUUCUUCCUUCGGCGACAGCAACACAACUUAUUUCCGUCGGUCACCACCGCACAAUUCUCUGAAGGAGCUCGUGCACACGGAGCAACAACAAAUUCACAAACAACUGCACAUUCUACACCAUAAACAUAGAGCUGUCAUUUGCACAAAAAAGGGAGAAACUUCAUUGAGGCGGUUGAUUAUAAGACGGUAUGGGCAAUCAAAUCCAGCUAUACAUGUCAAACCAUGUGAUUGAAUUUUGGCCGCACCCAACUUUGGUUUUUCUAUGUGGUAUUGCAAGAGAACAAACAAAUUAUGGAACCAGUAGUUUAAAAAUGUAUAAUGUGUGUUACUGUUUCUUCCUAUGAGUGGGUGGUUCGAAUUUUUGCUUGUUAUUUCCUAGCUGAGGAGCAUAGAUGUUGAGGGCUUCUUUUCAAGCCAGGAUGAGACAAUCAGAGUGCCAAGCUUUUGGGAAAAUUGGCAUUUGUAGCUAAAGUCUGCAAAGCUUAUGAGCAAACUGGCAGUUGAUAUAGGCAACUAGCAUCGAUUGACGAGAAUCAUAUGUAAUGUAAGGAGAAAGUACGGAGAGAAGCUUGUUUAGUUGUAGUGCUUAUAUAUGUGUGCACGUUGAAAAUGACAAUUCGAUAUACUUUUUCAGCUGUCAUGGAUAGUAGUUUUUCAGCCAACAUUUCCGAGACCGUGGCUGUUAGCGUACCACUGUUAUGUGUGAGUCAAGCUCAAAAUGGCACACAGACAAACAGAUCUGACACUGAAUGCCGAUGCAGCAGCAAAAUUGAAACACACAGAAGAAAUCUAAACCAAACCAGCAAAAGGACUCACGAGUAAACAAAUUUAACAAUAGAAUGCUG
rnacentral:misc_RNA from 1 species